CCGCCGGCGACCGGCGCACGGGUGAGUAACACGUAUGCAACCUGGCCGUGACAGAUGGAUAACCGGGAGAAAUCCCGCCUAAUACAACAUAAUGCCGGGAGGGGACAUCCCCUGCCGGUCAAAGGGGGCGACCCCGGUCAUGGAUGGGCAUGCGGCGCAUUAGGUAGUUGGUGGGGCAACGGCCCACCAAGCCGACGAUGCGUAGGGGUUCUGAGAGGAAGGUCCCCCACAUUGGAACUGAGACACGGACCAGACUCCUACGGAAGGCAGCAG
rnacentral:rRNA from 1 species